UGGGGAAUAUUGGGCAAUGGACGCAAGUCUGACCCAGCAACGCCGCGUGAAGGAAGAAGGCUUUCGGGUUGUAAACUUCUUUUGUCAGGGAAGAGCAGAAGACGGUACCUGACGAAUAAGCCACGGCUAACUACGUGCCAGCAGCCGCGGUAAUACGUAGGUGGCAAGCGUUGUCCGGAUUUACUGGGUGUAAAGGGCGUGUAGCCGGGGAGACAAGUCAGAUGUGAAAUCUGGAGGCUCAACCUCCAAACUGCAUUUGAAACUGUUUCUCUUGAGUAUCGGAGAGGUAAUCGGAAUUCCUAGUGUAGCGGUGAAAUGCGUAGAUAUUAGGAAGAACACCAGUGGCGAAGGCGGAUUACUGGACGACAACUGACGGUGAGGCGCGAAAGCGUGGGGAGCAAACA
rnacentral:rRNA from 1 species